UAAACGAUAAGCCACGAAUAUCUUACCUAGUUUAAAAUUUGUAUACCGUCAUUAUCAGAUAACUUUGAUAGAAUGAGUUGUUGAAAAUAAUAAAAAUUAAGAAAAUUAGAUCAAGGUGCAGUUUAUAGUUAGGAGUAAAUGGGUUACAAUAAAAACUGUUUAAACGGAGUUAAUAGUGAAAUUUAAUAAUGAAGGUGGAUUUAAUUGUAAUGAGAUUAAUUUUAAUUACUUGAUAUAGGCUCUAAAAUAUGUACAUAUCGCCCGUCGCUCGCGGGAAA
rnacentral:rRNA from 1 species